AGUUUUCUUGGAGGUAGAUGCUAGUAUAGUGGGGGUGGGUGCAGUUCUCUUGGAGGUAGAUGCUAGUAUAGUGGGGGUGGGUGCAGUUCUCUUGGAGGUAGAUGCUAGUAUAGUGGGGGUGGGUGCAGUUCUCUUGGAGGUAGAUGCUAGUAUAGUGGGGGUGGGUGCGGUUCUCUUGGAGGUAGAUGCUAGUAUAGUGGGGGUGGGUGUGGUUCUCUUGGAGGUAGAUGCUAGUAUAGUGGGGGUGGGUGCGGUUCUCUUGGAGGUAGAUGCUAGUAUAGUGGGGGUGGGUGCGGUUCUCUUGGAGGUAGAUGCUAGUAUAGUGGGGGUGGGUGCAGUUCUCUUGGAGGUAGAUGCUAGUAUAGUGGGGGUGGGUGCGGUUCUCUUGGAGGUAGAUGCUAGUAUAGUGGGGGUGGGUGCGGUUCUCUUGGAGGUAGAUGCUAGUAUAGUGGGGGUGGGUGCGGUUCUCUUGGAGGUAGA